rnacentral:misc_RNA from 1 species
UCUCCGUUGGUGAACCAGCGGAGGGAUCAUUAGCGAAGAGCGAGCGCCCUCACAGGCCCUCUCCAAGCCUCUCAACCCUUGCGAACUGUACCCGAGCGUUGCCUCGGCGCCCCUGGCGGGCGCCGGCGGCCCUGCAAACUCUCCCACGCGCACAGCCCUCUGACACGAAUUUACAAACGAGUAAAAACUUUUGGCAACGGAUCUCUUGGCUCCG